rnacentral:rRNA from 1 species
AGAGUUUGAUCCUGGCUCAGAACGAACGCUGGCGGCGUGCUUAACACAUGCAAGUCGAGUGCGCGGUUGUAGCAAUACAACUGGCGCACGGCGCACGGGUGCGUAACACGUGGGCAAUCUGCCCUUCGAUGGGGAAUAACUCCGGGAAACCGAAGCUAAUUCCGCAUAACAUUCCCUGGACUCCGGUCCGGGGAUUCAAAGCAGUAAUGCGUCGAAGGAGGAGCCCGCGCCCGAUUAGCUAGUUGGUAGGGUAACGGCCUACCAAGGCUAUGAUCGGUAGCCGGUCUGAGAGGAUGGCCAGCCACACUGGAACUGAGACACGGUCCAGACUCCUACGGGAGGCAGCAGUGGGGAAUCUUGCGCAAUGGGCGAAAGCCUGACGCAGCGACGCCGCGUGGGGGAUGAAGCAUCUCGGUGUGUAAACCCCUUUCGACUGGGACGAAUGCCUCGCAAGAGGAGUGACGGUACCAGUAGAAGAAGCCCCGGCUAACUACGUGCCAGCAGCCGCGGUAAGACGUAGGGGGCCAGCGUUGUUCGGAAUUACUGGGUGUAAAGGGUUCGUAGGCGGUGUGGCAAGUCGGGAGUGAAAUCUAUGGGGCUUAACCCAUAGGCUGCUUUCCGAAACUGCUGUGCUGGAGUGUGGGAGAGGCGCGUGGAAUUGCAGGUGUAGCGGUGAAAUGCGUAGAUAUCUGCAGGACACCCGUGGCGAAAGCGGCGCGCUGGACCACUACUGACGCUGAGGACGAAAGCUAGGGAGCAAACAGGAUUAGAUACCCUGGUAGUCCUAGCCCUAAACGAUCAGGACUU